UUUUGUAUAAUGGGUCAGCGACUUAUAUUCUGUAGCAAGGUUAACCGAAUAGGGGAGCCGAAGGGAAACCGAGUCUUAACUGGGCGUUAAGUUGCAGGGUAUAGACCCGAAACCCGGUGAUCUAGCCAUGGGCAGGUUGAAGGUUGGGUAACACUAACUGGAGGACCGAACCGACUAAUGUUGAAAAAUUAGCGGAUGACUUGUGGCUGGGGGUGAAAGGCCAAUCAAACCGGGAGAUAGCUGGUUCUCCCCGAAAGCUAUUUAGGUAGCGCCUCGUGAAUUCAUCUCCGGGGGUAGAGCACUGUUUCGGCUAGGGGGUCAUCCCGACUUACCAACCCGAUGCAAACUGCGAAUACCGGAGAAUGUUAUCACGGGAGACACACGGCGGGUGCUAACGUCCGUCGUGAAGAGGGAAACAACCCAGACCGCCAGCUAAGGUCCCAAAGUCAUGGUUAAGUGGGAAACGAUGUGGGAAGGCUCAGACAGCCAGGAUGUUGGCUUAGAAGCAGCCAUCAUUUAAAGAAAGCGUAAUAGCUCACUGGUCGAGUCGGCCUGCGCGGAAGAUGUAACGGGGCUAAACCAUGCACCGAAGCUGCGGCAGCGACACUAUGUGUUGUUGGGUAGGGGAGCGUUCUGUAAGCCUGUGAAGGUGUGCUGUGAGGCAUGCUGGAGGUAUCAGAAGUGCGAAUGCUGACAUAAGUAACGAUAAAGCGGGUGAAAAGCCCGCUCGCCGGAAGACCAAGGGUUCCUGUCCAACGUUAAUCGGGGCAGGGUGAGUCGACCCCUAAGGCGAGGCCGAAAGGCGUAGUCGAUGGGAAACAGGUUAAUAUUCCUGUACCAGGUGUUACUGCGAAGGGGGGACGGAGAAGGCUAUGUUGGCCGGGCGACGGUUGUCCCGGUUUAAGCGUGUAGGUGUGUGUUCCAGGUAAAUCCGGUUCACUUUAACACUGAGGCGUGAUGACGAGGCACUACGGUGCUGAAGCAACAAAUGCCCUGCUUCCAGGAAAAGCCUCUAAGCAUCAGGUAACAUCAGAUCGUACCCCAAACCGACACAGGUGGUCAGGUAGAGAAUACCAAGGCGCUUGAGAGAACUCGGGUGAAGGAACUAGGCAAAAUGGUGCCGUAAC
rnacentral:rRNA from 1 species